rnacentral:rRNA from 1 species
GACGAACGCUGGCGGCGUGCUUAACACAUGCAAGUCGAACGAUGAAGCCGGAGCUUGCUCUGGUGAAUUAGUGGCGAACGGGUGAGUAACACGUGAGUAACCUGCCCUUGACUCUGGGAUAACUGCGGGAAACUGUAGCUAAUACCGGAUACGACCCUCGGAGGCAUCUCCUGGGGGUGGAAAGAAUUUCGGUCAAGGAUGGACUCGCGGCCUAUCAGCUAGUUGGUGAGGUAAAGGCUCACCAAGGCGACGACGGGUAGCCGGCCUGGGAGGGUGACCGGCCAGACUGGGACUGGGACACGGCCCAGACUCCUACGGGAGGCAGCAGUGGGGAAUAUUGCACAAUGGGCGCAAGCCUGAUGCAGCAACGCCGCGUGAGGGAUGACGGCCUUCGGGUUGUAAACCUCUUUUAGCAGGGAAGAAGCGAAAGUGACGGUACCUGCAGAAAAAGCACCGGCUAACUACGUGCCAGCCGCCGCAGUAA